rnacentral:tRNA from 1 species
GGGAGUAUGGCUCAGUGGUAUAGCACGAGCUUAGUAUACAUGAGGUCCUGGGUUCAAUCCCCAGUACCUCCC